AGACGUCUACAUUAGAUACCCCGGUAGUCCCAGCCGUAAACUAUGCUCGCUAGGUGUCAGGCAUGGCGCGACCGUGUCUGGUGCCGCAGGGAAACCGUGAAACGUGCCGCCUGGGAAGUACGGUCGCAAGGCUGAAACUUAAAGGAAUUGGCGGGGAGCACCACAACGGGUGGAGCCUGCGGUUUAAUUGGACUCAACGCCGGGAAGCUCACCGGAUAAGACAGCGGAAUGAUUGCCGGGCUGAAGACUCUGCAUGACUAGCUG
rnacentral:rRNA from 1 species